rnacentral:rRNA from 1 species
GAUGAACGCUGGCGGCGUGCCUAAUACAUGCAAGUCGAGCGAACAGACGAGGAGCUUGCUCCUCUGACGUUAGCGGCGGACGGGUGAGUAACACGUGGAUAACCUACCUAUAAGACUGGGAUAACUUCGGGAAACCGGAGCUAAUACCGGAUAAUAUAUUGAACCGCAUGGUUCAAUAGUGAAAGACGGUUUUGCUGUCACUUAUAGAUGGAUCCGCGCCGCAUUAGCUAGUUGGUAAGGUAACAGCUUACCAAGGCAACGAUGCGUAGCCGACCUGAGAGGGUGAUCGGCCACACUGGAACUGAGACACGGUCCAGACUCCUACGGGAGGAAGCAGUAGGGAAUCUUCCGCAAUGGGCGAAAGCCUGACGGAGCAACGCCGCGUGAGGGAUGAAGGUCUUCGGAUCGUAAGACUUUGUUAUUAGGGAAGAACAAAUGUGUAAGUAACUAUGCACGUCUUGACGGUACCUAAUCAGAAAGCCACGGCUAACUACGUG